UGUAAUUUCUCAAUAGUUGAGUCGCAACUUGCAGAUUCCAUUAGCGAGGAUGAAAAUGCAACUGAUAGCUGUGGGAUAAAUAAUUACUCUGAAAAAUAUUUGAAUAGUCAUGAAUCAAGAAGGGCGCUCAAGCAAAAAUAAGAAAAUAUGCAACCGUAUUCCAGCUGGAUCACUUGCAUCUUUGUGAAAUCAAAGGGUUUCGUCGUUGACAACAUA